GUCCUGCCUGUUCCAUGGGCUGUGCCUGACAGUGCUGCAAGGGAUGCUGGGUGCAGGCCGUUCCUGAACCACGUGUGCUGGGAGACCAGGGGGUGGGGGGCUAAGGCACAGAGCGUGACCACAACAGGGUACUUCCAGCACAGCUGGGUCAGAGGUCCCUAUCCAAAGCCACUGGCCCAGUGGGACAUCAACCGAUGGAAUGGACUGUUCCCACUGCUUUGUGGUCAAGACACCUCUGCCUGGGAGAGGAGGGACAGAGUGCAGGAGCCCCAGCCUCGGCCUGCCGGGCCUCAUCACUCUACCUAAUGGAGCAAAAUGGCUCGCGGUGAUUCUCGCAAAGGUUAGCAAGGUCAGAAACGGGGACUGAUGUGACUUCAUUUGCUAAAUGCUGAGUUGAACAAGUACAGAGAUUUCUCCCACCAAAGUCCUGUGCAUUCACGGUGCUGGGGUGCACAGAGCCCUAGCUGAAGAGGAGUAAGGGCAUGUCCCAGACACCGGAACACAUGUUCUAGACUUAUCCAGGUGUCAACAAAAUCCCAAGGCCAGAAAAUUCCAUACAGAGAACCACAGACGGCACCGAGGAGUGGGAAGCAAAGACUCUGGGCCCCAUGCUCAGCCCAACUCUGCCUUUUCUGACCCAUGCUUGACUUGCUGCUACUCUCUACCUGCACCCCAGAAAGCUGUCUCACAAGCUCACCUCUCUUCCUGCUUGAAGGUCAGGGCCCCUCCCCUUGCCUCUACCUGACUGCCUCUUCCAGAGAGGCGCCUGUGCCUGAGCAGCUGUCCCUUCUAGAAGAUGGUCAGCUCUUUUCUGUGGCCUAAAGCUCAGCGCUUCUCUGAGGAGCAAGGCAGCUGCAGGCUGGGCAGAGGCUGCCAAGCAGAGAAGGCCACCACACAGCCCUCAUUGCCACUCAAGAGUUCUCAUCUGCUCUCGAACCUCAGGAAGCCCGGCACCCACUUUGGCCCUGAAGCGGCAAUCUCACCAGCCACGCCCGUGGGGCCUCCAAGCACCCACCCAGAACUUAGGUCUAUCUCAGUUCUUCAGCUGCCCCAGGUCAGGGCAGCUGGUGGCCAGCAGAGCCUACAGGAUGGGAGACAGGGAGAUUUCUAGUGGGAAGAAAAACAAACGAGGGGCACCCUUUCAUUUCCAAGAGCACAAGAGCAGAAACCAGGCCCUGUGCCCAGGUGUCAGUGGUGGGCAGUCC
rnacentral:lncRNA from 1 species